rnacentral:rRNA from 1 species
UACGAAGGGGGCUAGCGUUGUUCGGAAUUACUGGGCGUAAAGCGCACGUAGGCGGAUUGUUAAGUCGGGGGUGAAAUCCCGGGGCUCAACCCCGGAACUGCCUUUGAUACUGGCAAUCUAGAGUCCGGAAGAGGAGAAUGGAAUUCCUGGUGUAGCGGUGAAAUGCGCAGAUAUCAGGAAGAACACCCGUGGCUAAGGCGGUUCUCUAGUACGGUACUGACGCUGAGACGCGAAAGCGUGGGUAGCAAACAGG